rnacentral:rRNA from 1 species
CGGCAACAGCUUAAAACUCAAAGGACUUGGCGGUGCUUUAUAUCCCUCUAGAGGAGCCUGUUCUAUAAUCGAUAAACCCCGAUAAACCUCACCAAUUCUUGCUAAUUCAGUCUAUAUACCGCCAUCUUCAGCAAACCCUAAAAAGGAAUAAAAGUAAGCACAAUAAUAACACAUAAAAACGUUAGGUCAAGGUGUAACCUAUGAAAUGGAAAGAAAUGGGCUACAUUUUCUAUAUUAAGAA